rnacentral:tRNA from 2 species
GGCAACGUGGCGGAGUGGUUAUCGCGCUAGCCUAGAAAUUCUGAAUUCAGCUAGUUCCUUCGGGAGCGUCAGUUCGACUCUGGCCGUUGUCG